rnacentral:piRNA from 1 species
UGAGAGGAUAAAAGAUGCCAGGGCAA